AUGGACCCCAAACCCCAAGUCCUCCGAGCCAUCCGUGUGCUGACCUCCCAGCUCUCCGGGCUCUCUGCCCUCACCCAGCCCCUUGGCAUCCACGCGUGGCCGAGGCACCACAAAAUGCCACACAGAGCCCCAGGAAAUGUCACGAUGGCAAAGGCCGAGGUGCCCCCUGCAGCCCCAGCACGGGGCGAAGGCUGCCCUGCCCCAUGGGGACCUGACCCGGCCGCGGGCCCAGCUGGGGUGAAAAGGCUCCUUGAGAGAGAGCCCCUCCUUGCUGCAAAGCAAAGGCAUGGAGAGCGCUGGGAUCGCAGCCCUUCUCUUAAGGAUUUCAAAACCGUCUGCUGUCACCUCACUCCAUCUCUGUCAGCACUGGGAUGUGCAGGAAUUAAGCAGCCAGCCCUGGGACGCACCUCCAAGAGAAAGCUCUGCACCCACCAGCACAGCAUCCUCCACACCGUGCCCAAAAAGUAUUCAGAGGAGCAGAGAAAGCUGAAAUCCCCUCCCAACACCACCCCCUCCAAGGGCUCGGGGUGUAGAGAUCUGCCAUUAGGAGAUCAGAGAGCUCUGCAUCCCUCUGUGCCAUCUCUGAGCCCCACGUCUCCAUGCUGCUCCCGGGGUAAGAGCCAAUCCUGCACACACCCUGCCCUGCUGCAAAGUAAAACCCCAACCACUGCAUGUGCAAAGCAGUCCAUCCCCUUACAGCCACCUUCUGUCAUCAAGGAAUCGGUAGGGGUGGGGGCAGAACAUGCACCUUGAUUCCAGCUGAAGCUGAAGAACCAGCCAUGAGUUCACCAAAGCGCCAUCCUCCUCCUUCUCCGUGCAACCACGGAGGGGGACAGUGAACACGGCAAGGAAGGAAACAGCGGGCAGCUUGGCUUCCCCUUUCCUGUUGGCAUUAGCUGCUUUAAACAGAGAAGCAAGCCCCAUUUGCAAAGCAUAGCAUGCCUUUGGUGCCAAGGGGUGGUAGCACGAGUACCAGCACAGUGGGGAGCCUUGGCCACGCAACCCUGCUCAUCCGCCUCGGGAGAAGGGGAAAAGAGGGGAAAAAAAAAAAAAAAACCACCAAAAAAAAAACCAACCUCAGGGAGGGAGGAGGUCAAUAUUUACUCUCCAAACACAAACUGCUGCCUGGAGGUUAACAAGACAAAUAGCCACUGGAACAGCAUCCCUCCCACGUGGGAGCGCGGUGCCCAGCGCCUGCGGGUGCUGCCCACGUGGGUCGGGAGGCAUCGGGCAGCGUCCCCACACCGGGGAGCAGCCGUCACCACCGAGCACCAUCAUCCCUCGUGUCCCAGCGCUUCCCAGAUGGAAAAACAUCGUGGCAGAGCUGGCAGUGCACGGACCAGAGCUAACCACGUUGAAAUACCCAUUGCUGCCUCUGUGUCGCCGCUCGGCUGCCGCCGCCGGGGAUUUAUCUCCGCUGUAAACACAAGAGCGAGUUCAGUCUUGUUUGUACCUGGCAAGGAGGGCAGGUGACACCGGGAGGGGAGGGAAGCUGAGAACAGCACUGUGCCCACGUGCAUGGGGAUGGCAUUGUCACUGCGUGCAUCCCCAUGGCUGGGUGCUGCUCCCUGGGAUGUGCCAUGUCCCCAGGAUGUGCCAUGACCCCAGGACACGCCACGAUGCUGGGAUGUGCCAUGUCCCUGGGAGGUAUCAUGACCCCAGGAUGUGCCAUGACACCGGGAUGUGCCAUGACACCGGGAUGUGCCAUGAUCCCAGGGUGUGCCAUGACCUUGGGAUGUGCCAUGUCCCCAUG
ensembl:lncRNA